UCACUUUUUUUCCUUUUGUGGAUUCGUUUUGUUUUAGUGAAGCUGAAGCUGCUGAAACCUCACCUGUCGCAGUGGGUCAGGCAUGCGGUUAAUUUGACAUAUGUGGACUUCACUCCACGGAUAAAGGCGUCACGUCUGAUUUUGCCUCUCCAAUCUCUAGUGAUACACGGUUGCUGCUUCUCUUGGCUGAGGGAUACUGUUCUUCACAUAGUAGUGAAAAAGGAGAUGAACAGAAGAAAUUCACCUUUAAGUGACAGCUGCCAUUGACACACAGAAGCACUCACUCAAGAUGGCUUAAAGGAGAAAGGGACUCAAUGCAUGACUGGAAAACAGAGUGAUUCAGGCAAG